rnacentral:lncRNA from 1 species
CAUCAUACAUCGCUCUCGACGGAUUUGAUUCUUCGAGUAAUUCUCAACGAACAGGUACUUUAUGAUCUCUUGCUUUGCUAAUCCUAUGAUCGUGUGGGUUUGGUUUCGAAUUUCGCAAUAUAUUGUGGUUUGGGUUUUAUUUUGAUUAUUGAUCGUUGGUUAGGGAUUUCUGAAUUUCAUAGCUAAAAAUUAUGAAAUAUCAAUAGGUAAAAUUAUCAAUAAGUCAUAGUUUAGCUUCUAGUAUAGAUUAAAGUAUUGAACUUUUUCAUUAUAUUGUUGUACUAAAUUGUACAAAUUAAGAUUUGGGUUUUUUAAUCCCCUUGGAGCCGUAUCCUUGGAACCUUUCUUGUAUUCCCAGGUAAACACUGAACACACAAACCUUAGAAUGACCAUAACAGCCAUGUGAUUAGACUUUUAAGUCACUUUACUAUAACUUCCUCAGACGUUAUGAAGAAACUGUCUUUGUUCAGAAUGUUGUGGCUCACUCAAAAUUUGGUCAUGUGUGCUACUUCGUAGAUUACUUGAUUUGUGAGUAUAAUGUCAGAAAGUGUUAGCCUUUUCACUACACAUGUAAUUUUUUUGGUGUUCUGCCAAUUUUUAGGACAUUGGUUCUAGGAUUUGUUGUAAAUUACUUUAUUAUUCUAGGUGCUGAAAGUUUCUCUUGUAGUAAUUCAUUGUCGAUUCAACUAGUUUUGUUUCUUGGGAAAGAUAGGCUCAGUGUUCUGAUGAUCUCUUGUACAUGUGAACAGGGUACUGUUGGACCUUCCAACAUUCAGAACACUAUUGGAUUGGAGACCAGUGGAGCAAAGCAAAUGGAAAAGGUUAGAUUUGGUGUUGUGUCUGUCAAUACUUAUUAUACUGUUUAACAUUCAUAACUGGCUCUUUUACGUUUCUGUGGUUGAGUCAAGAAAGAAGCUUUACAGUGAUUAUAAUUAGGAGAUACCUUAGAUUUACACUUCAGUUUAUGACUCUUCUUAUGAUGAGUUUAUGAAUAAAAAUUGGGUGGAUGUUGAUGGACGAAAUUACCAGUCCGUGUUACUCAUACAAAUGCCUCGGCUUAGUUUAAGACUCGUCUAACAAUGAGUCUCUAACUCAGAAAUAGAUUGUUGGUGGUGCAUGAAUGAAAACUUAUGUCCCGUGUUGCCUUUUCAAAUGCCUCGGCUCAGUUUUAGACUCUCCUCAUGUUGAGUUCUUCGAUAUAAAAUGAGGUAAUUUAAAUUACCUCUUUGACAGUCCCUUAUUGCCUAUUCAAAUGCCUCGGCUCAGUUUAUGACUCUUCUUAUGAUGAGUUUAUGAAUAAGAUAUGGGUGAAUGUUGGUGCACGAAACUACCAGUCCCGUGCUACUUAUACAAAUGCCUCGGCUCGGUUUUAGACUCUUCGAAUGAUGAGUCUCUAACUUAGAAACAGAUUGUUGUUGGUGCAUGAACGAGAAAUUAUGUCCCAUGUUGCCUAAUUAAUUGCCUCAGCUCGAUUUUAGACUCGUCUCAUGAUGAGUUCUUGGAUAUGAAGUUGGUAGAUGAAAUGAGGUAAUCUAAAUUACCUCUUUACCAGUCCCGUGUUACUUAUACAAAUGCCUCGGCUCGGGUUUUAGACUCUAAUAACGUUGAGUCUCUAAAUCAGAAACAGAGUGACGGUGGUGCAUGGCUAAGAAAUAAGUCCCGUGUUACUUAUACAAAUGCCUCGGCUAGGUUUUAGACUUUUCUAACGAUGAGUCUCUAAAUCAUAAACUGAUUGAUGGUGGUGCAUGACUGAGAAAUUAUGCCCCUUGUUACUUAUACAAAUGCUUCGGCUCGGUUUUAGACUCUUCUAACGAUGAGUCUCUAACUCAGAAACUGAUUUUUGGUGGUGCAUGUCUGAGAAAUCAGAAUGGAUUAAUGGUUGUGUAGAAAUACAUGGGAAAUCUGUUGUGUAUGUUAAAACAUUUGACUGAUCCUAAAUUUUAUGUUAAUGUUACACCACAAUCUUUGUUUCUAAUGAUUGUUAUUUUAAAUUUGCAGGUUAAAAAGAGAUUGAUCUGGACGUGGUUGAUUGAGGUGCUUCAUGAUAAUAUGUGUUUUACUGGUUAGUUCGUACAUUGAUAUAGUUAUUUAUUGAAGUUGAUUAUAUUAUCUCCUUUUGCUCAAAAGUUAUAGAUUCAUAUCUUUGUGUUGGACAGGAAAAGCUUGAUGAAACUGGAAGAUCAAAUGUGACUUAUGUAAUGGAUCUCAGCUUGUUUAUAUGCACUAAUGAGAAAACCAUACUACUAAAACAUGUAGCGUACGACUUGAUGAGGUAUUGAACUCGAUCUAAUGAUUCUUAGGUGAUGAUGGGUCUUGAUGCUUACAAAAAGCAAAAUCAAUAGGUAGAAUAUCAUGUUUGCAAUCAACUUGUAUUAGUCAUAUGUGUUCUUAUUUCAUCAAUAG